rnacentral:lncRNA from 1 species
GCAAUUUCUACAUAAAAUAAGUUAAAAUUAAAUUUAAAGAAACGAAUAAAAUAAAAGAAAAUGAAAUUCAUUUCUUUCAUACCCUCAUCUGUAUUCCUUCACCACCCAUGGCAAAACCAAUCCAAACCGGGAAAGUCACUGGCCUCGCCAUCAGCUUGCCACCGUUGUCAUUGACCUAUUUCUAUUGAAAAAAACAAGCACAAUUAAUUCGGAAAAACAUAGGCAUCAAACUACCCAGAAAUUUUCGUAGAAUCACAACCAAAAUCAGAAAAACACAAUCAAACAAAAGACACAAGCACAAGCAGAAUAACGGAAAUCAAACCGCAAGAAUUUUUCACACAAUCAAACAGUCAACCACCCAGAAGUUUUUGCACCAAAAAUCAAAUCCAUCAUUUUGUAGAACCCAAAAUUAAACCCCAUAAAUCACAAAUCUGAAUGUAAAUUGUGUUUGCAUAUGAAUUAAUUUUGUGCAGAUGAGGAAGCUCUAUGUGUUCUGCAGUUAAAUAUUUUCUGCUAUGUGCCAUUAUAGAUGCAGCGCAAAUCUACCUCAUUUUCAAUUAUUAGGGGAGAAUAAUCCCAAUUUUAUUUUGGGUACGUUGUGGCGGUCGCGGUGGUGAUGGUGGCUCUUUAGGUUAGGUUUGCGUGGGGUUUGGGAGUCGUGUAGGGUAAAAGGAAACAAACGGUUUUUA